rnacentral:rRNA from 1 species
GACGAACGCUGGCGGCGUGCUUAACACAUGCAAGUCGAACGGAAAGGCCCCAUUGGGGGUUCUCGGGUGGCGGACGGGGGCGUAACACGUGCGUAAGCUGCCCUUGACUAUGGGACAAGUAUAAGAAACUGGGGCUAAUACCGGAAAGGAAUCCUUUCUGCAUGGUGGGGGUUGGAAAGCUUCGGCGGGUCUUGCUGUACUUGCGGGAUAUCUGCUUGUUGGUGGGGUUAUGGCUUACCAAGGCGUUGACGUGAAGCCGGCCUGUGUGGCCGACCGGCCACAUUGGGACCGAGAGAAGGCCGAGGCACCGACGGGUGGGAGCAGUGGGGAAGAUUGCAGAAGGGGCGGAAGCCUGAUGCAGAAAGGCCGCGGGCGGGAUGACGGCCUUAGGGUUGUAAACCGCUUGCAGCAGGGGCGGAGCUUGUGGUGACGGUACCUGCAGAAGAAGCACCGGCUAACUACGUG